UACGUAGGGACCAAGCGUUGUUCGGAUUUACUGGGCGUAAAGGGCGCGUAGGCGGCGCGGUAAGUCACUUGUGAAAUCUCUGAGCUUAACUCAGAACGGCCAAGUGAUACUGCAGUGCUAGAGUGUGGAAGGGGCAAUCGGAAUUCUUGGUGUAGCGGUGAAAUGCGCAGAUAUCAGGAAGAACACCCGUGGCGAAAGCGGCUCUCUGGAACGGUACUGACGCUGAGACGCGAAAGCGUGGGGAGCGAACAGG
rnacentral:rRNA from 1 species